rnacentral:rRNA from 1 species
AGAGUUUGAUCCUGGCUCAGAACGAACGCUGGCGGCGGGGAUUAGGCAUGCAAGUCGAGCGACCCGUUUCUUCGGAUACGGGGAGCGGCGGAUGGGUGAGUAAUGCAUAGAUAACCUACCCCCGAGUUCGGGAUAACAUCGGGAAACUGGUGCUAAUACCGAAUGGGAUCCAGGAAUCGCAUGUUACCUGGAUUAAAGAUAGCCUCUGUUUCAAGCCUUCGCUUGGGGAGGGAUCUAUGUCCUACUAGCUUGUUGGUGGGGUAACGGCCCACCAAAGCUGUGAUGGGUAGCCGGCCUGAGAGGGCGACCGGCCACACUGGGACUGAGACACUGCCCAGACUCCUACGGGAGGCUGCAGUCGAGAAUCUUCCCCAAUGGGCGCAAGCCUGAGGGAGCGACGCCGCGUGGAGGACGAAGGCCUUCGGGUUGUAAACUCCUGUCACCGGUUAGGAAAUCUCGAGAGGUUAAGAGCUACUCGGGUUGACAAAGGCCGGAGAGGAAGCCACGGCUAACUUCGUGCCAGCAGCCGCGGUAAGACGAAGGUGGCUAGCGUUGUUCGGAAUCACUGGGGCAUAAAGGGCACGUAGGCGGAUAUGCAAGUCGGAUGUGAAAGCCCUCGGCCUAACCGAGGAAUUGCGUCCGAAACUGCAUAUCUUGAGGGCAGGAGGGUGCAUGGAAUUCCCGGUGGAGCGGUGAAAUGCGUUGAUAUCGGGAGGAACGCCGGGCGGCGAAAGCGGUGCACUGGCCCUGUUUCUGACGCUGAGGUGCGAAGGCCAGGGGAGCAAACGGGAAUAGAUACCCCG